UACGAAGGGGGCUAGCGUUGCUCGGAAUUACUGGGCGUAAAGGGCGCGUAGGCGGCACUGUUAGUCAGGCGUGAAAGUCCUGGGCUCAACCUGGGAACUGCGCUUGAUACGGCAGAGCUAGAGGAUGGAAGAGGGUCGCGGAAUUCCCAGUGUAGAGGUGAAAUUCGUAGAUAUUGGGAAGAACACCAGUGGCGAAAGCGGCUUCCUGGUCCAGCACCGACGUCAGGCACGAAAGCGUGGGGAGCAAACAGG
rnacentral:rRNA from 1 species